GAUGAACGCUGGCGGCGUGCCUAAUACAUGCAAGUCGAGCGAACAGACGAGGAGCUUGCUCCUCUGACGUUAGCGGCGGACGGGUGAUUAACACGUGGAUAACCUACCUAUAAGACUGGGAUAACUUCGGGAAACCGGAGCUAAUACCGGAUAAUAUAUUGCACCGCAUGGUUCAAUAGUGAAAGACGGUUUUGCUGUCACUUAUAGAUGAAUCCGCGCCGCAUUAGCUAGUUGGUAAGGUAACGGCUUACCAAGGCGACGAUGCGUAGCCGACCUGAAAGGGUGAUCGGCCACACUGGAACUGAGACACGGUCCAGACUCCUACGGGAGGCAGCAGUAGGGAAUCUUCCGCAAUGGGCGAAAGCCUGACGGAGCAACGCCGCGUGAGUGAUGAAGGUCUUCGGAUCGUAAAACUCUGUUAUUAGGGAAGAACAAAUGUGUAAGUAACUAUGCACGUCUUGACGGUACCUAAUCAGAAAGCCACGGCUAACUACGUG
rnacentral:rRNA from 1 species